rnacentral:rRNA from 1 species
CCUACGGGUGGCUGCAGUGGGGAAUAUUGCACAAUGGGCGCAAGCCUAAUGCAGCCAUGCCGCGUGUGUGAAGAAGGCCUUCGGGUUGUAAAGCACUUUCAGCGGGGAGGAAGGCGGUGAGGUUAAUAACCUCAUCGAUUGACGUUACCCGCAGAAGAAGCACCGGCUAACUCCGUGCCAGCAGCCGCGGUAAUACGGAGGGUGCAAGCGUUAAUCGGAAUUACUGGGCGUAAAGCGCACGCAGGCGGUCUGUCAAGUCGGAUGUGAAAUCCCCGGGCUCAACCUGGGAACUGCAUUCGAAACUGGCAGGCUAGAGUCUUGUAGAGGGGGGUAGAAUUCCAGGUGUAGCGGUGAAAUGCGUAGAGAUCUGGAGGAAUACCGGUGGCGAAGGCGGCCCCCUGGACAAAGACUGACGCUCAGGUGCGAAAGCGUGGGGAGCAAACAGGAUUAGAUACCCUUGUAGUC